rnacentral:rRNA from 1 species
UACGUAGGGUCCGAGCGUUGUCCGGAAUUAUUGGGCGUAAAGGGCUCGUAGGCGGUCUGUUGCGUCGGGAGUGAAAACUUACAGCUUAACUGUGAGCGUGCUUCCGAUACGGGCAGACUUGAGGUAUUCAGGGGAGAACGGAAUUCCUGGUGUAGCGGUGAAAUGACGCAGAUAUCAGGAGGAACACCGAUGGCGAAGGCAGGUCUCUGGGCCACUGACUGACGCUGAGAAGCGAAAGCAUGGGGAGCGAACAGG